rnacentral:rRNA from 1 species
AGAGUUUGAUCCUGGCUCAGGAUGAACGCUAGCGGCAGGCUUAACACAUGCAAGUCGAAGGGCAGCGAGGGGAGUGCUUGCACUCCCUGUCGGCGACUGGCGCACGGGUGAGUAACACGUAUGCAACCUGCCCUCCACAGGGGGACAACCUUCCGAAAGGGAGGCUAAUCCCGCGUAAAUCCCCCGGAGGCAUCUCCGGGGGAGGAAAACUCCGGUGGUGGAGGAUGGGCAUGCGGCGCAUUAGGCAGUCGGCGGGGUAACGGCCCACCGAACCGACGAUGCGUAGGGGUUCUGAGAGGAAGGUCCCCCACACUGGUACUGAGACACGGACCAGACUCCUACGGGAGGCAGCAGUGAGGAAUAUUGGUCAAUGGACGCGAGUCUGAACCAGCCAAGCCGCGUGAAGGAUUAAGGCCCUACGGGUCGUAAACUUCUUUUGUCAGGGAACAAAAGUGGGGACGUGUCCCCAUCUGCGUGUACCUGAAGAAAAAGCAUCGGCUAACUCCGUGCCAGCAGCCGCGGUAAUACGGAGGAUGCGAGCGUUAUCCGGAUUUAUUGGGCUUAAAGGGUGCGCAGGCGGUCUGUUAAGUCAGCGGUAAAAGCCCGGGGCUCAACCCCGGCGAGCCGUUGAAACUGGCGGACUAGAGAGGAAGAGAAGUAGGCGGAAUGCGCGGUGUAGCGGUGAAAUGCUUAGAUAUCGCGCAGAACUCCGAUUGCGAAGGCAGCCUACCGGCUUCUAUCUGACGCUCAGGCACGAAAGCGUGGGUAUCGCCCCAAAAGGGAGAUACCCCUGGUAGUCCACGCAGUAACGAUGAAAUGCCGGCUGUCCGGCCCGACUGGGGGCUGGGUGGCGAAGCGAAACGAAUAAGCAUUCCACCUGGGGAGUACGCCGGCAACGGUGAAACUCAAAGGAAUUGACGGGGACCCGCACAAGCGGUGGAGCAUGUGGUUUAAUUCGAAGCAACGCGAAGAACCUUACCAGGUCUUGACAUCCCUCUGACCGGUCCGUAACGGGACCUUUCCUUCGGGACAGAGGAGACAGGUGGUGCAUGGUUGUCGUCAGCUCGUGUCGUGAGAUGUUGGGUUAAGUCCCGCAACGAGCGCAACCCUUACCUUCAGUAGCCAGCGUGUGAAGUCGGGCACUCUGGAGGGACUGCCAGGGACAACCUGGAGGAAGGUGGGGAUGACGUCAAAUCAUCAUGCCCCUUAUGAUCUGGGCCACACACGUGCUACAAUGGCGUAAACAAAGGGAAGCGAGACAGUGAUGGUAAGCAAAUCCCAAAAAUAACGUCUCAGUUCGGAUUGUAGUCUGCAACUCGACUACAUGAAGCUGGAAUCGCUAGUAAUCGCGGAUCAGAAUGCCGCGGUGAAUACGUUCCCGGGUCUUGCACUCACCGCCCGUCAAG